UUAAGCGACUAAGCGUACACGGUGGAUGCCCUGGCAGUCAGAGGCGAUGAAGGACGUGCUAAUCUGCGAUAAGCGUCGGUAAGGUGAUAUGAACCGUUAUAACCGGCGAUUUCCGAAUGGGGAAACCCAGUGUGUUUCGACACACUAUCAUUACGUGAAUCCAUAGCGUAAUGAAGCGAACCGGGGGAACUGAAACAUCUAAGUACCCCGAGGAAAAGAAAUCAACCGAGAUUCCCCCAGUAGCGGCGAGCGAACGGGGAGCAGCCCAGAGUCUGAAUCAGCUUGUGUGUUAGUGGAACGGUCUGGAAAGUCCGACGGUACAGGGUGAUAGUCCCGUACACCAAAAUGCACAGGUUGUGAACUCGAAGAGUAGGGCGGGACACGUGGUAUCCUGUCUGAAUAUGGGGGGACCAUCCUCCAAGGCUAAAUACUCCUGACUGACCGAUAGUGAACCAGUACCGUGAGGGAAAGGCGAAAAGAACCCCGGCGAGGGGAGUGAAAAAGAACCUGAAACCGUGUACGUACAAGCAGUGGGAGCCUACUUGUUAGGUGACUGCGUACCUUUUGUAUAAUGGGUCAGCGACUUAUAUUCUGUAGCAAGGUUAACCGAAUAGGGGAGCCGAAGGGAAACCGAGUCUUAACUGGGCGUUAAGUUGCAGGGUAUAGACCCGAAACCCGGUGAUCUAGCCAUGGGCAGGUUGAAGGUUGGGUAACACUAACUGGAGGACCGAACCGACUAAUGUUGAAAAAUUAGCGGAUGACUUGUGGCUGGGGGUGAAAGGCCAAUCAAACCGGGAGAUAGCUGGUUCUCCCCGAAAGCUAUUUAGGUAGCGCCUCGUGAACUCAUCUUCGGGGGUAGAGCACUGUUUCGGCUAGGGGGUCAUCCCGACUUACCAACCCGAUGCAAACUGCGAAUACCGAAGAAUGUUAUCACGGGAGACACACGGCGGGUGCUAACGUCCGUCGUGAAGAGGGAAACAACCCAGACCGCCAGCUAAGGUCCCAAAGUCAUGGUUAAGUGGGAAACGAUGUGGGAAGGCACAGACAGCCAGGAUGUUGGCUUAGAAGCAGCCAUCAUUUAAAGAAAGCGUAAUAGCUCACUGGUCGAGUCGGCCUGCGCGGAAGAUGUAACGGGGCUAAACCAUGCACCGAAGCUGCGGCAGCGACACUAUGUGUUGUUGGGUAGGGGAGCGUUCUGUAAGCCGUUGAAGGUGUGCUGUGAGGCAUGCUGGAGGUAUCAGAAGUGCGAAUGCUGACAUAAGUAACGAUAAUGCGGGUGAAAAACCCGCACGCCGGAAGACCAAGGGUUCCUGUCCAACGUUAAUCGGGGCAGGGUGAGUCGACCCCUAAGGCGAGGCCGAAAGGCGUAGUCGAUGGGAAACAGGUUAAUAUUCCUGUACUUGGUGUUACUGCGAAGGGGGACGGAGAAGGCUAUGUUAGCCGGGCGACGGUUGUCCCGGUUUAAGUAUGUAGGCGGGUGUUUUAGGUAAAUCCGGAACACUACUAACGCUGAGGUGUGAUGACGAGGCACUACGGUGCUGAAGUAACAAAUGCCCUGCUUCCAGGAAAAGCCUCUAAGCAUCAGGUAACACGAAAUCGUACCCCAAACCGACACAGGUGGUCAGGUAGAGAAUACCAAGGCGCUUGAGAGAACUCGGGUGAAGGAACUAGGCAAAAUGGUGCCGUAACUUCGGGAGAAGGCACGCUGAUAUGUAGGUGAAGUGAUUUACUCAUGGAGCUGAAAUCAGUCGAAGAUACCAGCUGGCUGCAACUGUUUAUUAAAAACACAGCACUGUGCAAACACGAAAGUGGACGUAUACGGUGUGACGCCUGCCCGGUGCCGGAAGGUUAAUUGAUGGGGUUAUCCGUAAGGAGAAGCUCUUGAUCGAAGCCCCGGUAAACGGCGGCCGUAACUAUAACGGUCCUAAGGUAGCGAAAUUCCUUGUCGGGUAAGUUCCGACCUGCACGAAUGGCGUAAUGAUGGCCAGGCUGUCUCCACCCGAGACUCAGUGAAAUUGAACUCGCUGUGAAGAUGCAGUGUACCCGCGGCAAGACGGAAAGACCCCGUGAACCUUUACUAUAGCUUGACACUGAACACUGGUCCUUGAUGUGUAGGAUAGGUGGGAGGCUUUGAAGUGUGGACGCCAGUCUGCAUGGAGCCAACCUUGAAAUACCACCCUUUAAUGGCUGGUGUUCUAACGUGGACCCGUAAUCCGGGUUGCGGACAGUGUCUGGUGGGUAGUUUGACUGGGGCGGUCUCCUCCUAAAGAGUAACGGAGGAGCACGAAGGUUAGCUAAUCCUGGUCGGACAUCAGGAGGUUAGUGCAAAGGCAUAAGCUAGCUUGACUGCGAGAGUGACGGCUCGAGCAGGUGCGAAAGCAGGUCUUAGUGAUCCGGUGGUUCUGAAUGGAAGGGCCAUCGCUCAACGGAUAAAAGGUACUCCGGGGAUAACAGGCUGAUACCGCCCAAGAGUUCAUAUCGACGGCGGUGUUUGGCACCUCGAUGUCGGCUCAUCACAUCCUGGGGCUGAAGUAGGUCCCAAGGGUAUGGCUGUUCGCCAUUUAAAGUGGUACGCGAGCUGGGUUUAGAACGUCGUGAGACAGUUCGGUCCCUAUCUGCCGUGGGCGCUGGAGAAUUGAGGGGGGCUGCUCCUAGUACGAGAGGACCGGAGUGGACGCAUCACUGGUGUUCGGGUUGUCAUGCCAAUGGCAUUGCCCGGUAGCUAAAUGCGGAAGAGAUAAGUGCUGAAAGCAUCUAAGCACGAAACUUGCCCCGAGAUGAGUUCUCCCUGAGACUAUAAGUCUCCUGAAGGAACGUUGAAGACGACGACGUUGAUAGGUCGGGUGUGUAAGUGUAGCGAUACAUUGAGCUAACCGAUACUAAUGAACCGUGAGGCUUAACCUU
rnacentral:rRNA from 1 species